rnacentral:lncRNA from 1 species
AUCCGUCACCUGACACGGCCCUACCAGGAACAGCCGCGCUCCCGCGGAUUCUGGUGCUGCUCGCGUCCCCGCUCCCCUAUUCCCCUUAUUUUAUUCCUGGCUCCCCUCGUCGAAAGUCUUCCAUUCUUCAAACUAGAUUAUUUAAAAAUGAAAAAGGAAGAAAGGAAAGCGAGGUCAUCUCAUUGCUCUAUCCGCCAAUCAGGAGGCUGAAUGUCAGUUUUGAACUAAAAGCCGCUCCGCUCCUCUUCUAGAUUUGGAAAACAAGCGAAAUUAAACUAAACCGCUGCACGCCUCUGACGCGACAUCUGGACACGGCGCGGCGCUGGCGCUGCCGGAGCUGUCGACCCGGCCUGGCGCCGGACUAGUGUCCCUUUUGAUGAGAAGAAUAAGCCUCAUUCUGAUUCAACAGCAGAGAUCAAAGAAAAGACUUCUGUUUUCUGGCCACCAGAUAUAUGUUAUCUGUGCUUAAAGAAUUGAAAAACACACAUCAAAGGAGAAUUUUCUUGGAAAGAGAGGGUUCAAGCAUCACUGUUAGGUGUGCUGGAAUCCUUUCCCGAGUCAGUACUGCUUUCUAGAAGAAAACCGGGGAGAUCUAUUUGGAAUGUAUCUAACUCCAAAGAAACCAUCAGAGGUAACAGUAGAGACGGGGUUUCACCAUGUUGGCCAGACUGGUCUUGAACUCUCGACCUCGUGAUUCGCCCGCCUCGGCCUCCCAAAGUGCUGGGAUUACAGGUGUGAGACACCACACCCGGCGGAUAGAGAGAAUUUUGACAGAUUGGCUUCUCUCACAUGGCAAGAAACAUUGCUGCUAGCACUUCCCGAGUUCUACGUUCUACAACAUCCACCACUGGAUCUUAACAUAGACGUAAGAUCAAAUGCAAUAGCAUGUCAAACAAUGUGUAACUCCAGUUAUACAAACAUUACUGUAUCUCAUUGGGGAUACGAAGCUCUACACACUUGAAGAUGGUGAAGGAAUAUAAAAAUCUAUGUCUCACAGUCCAGACUUGGAGUACAAGUAAUAAGAAGAAUAAAACUUAAUCCCUUAAGUAGAUUCACCAUAAGUUAGCUCAGAGCAAUUCCAGUGCAAGUAUGGUCUGUGAUCCAGUAGUAUCUUACAGACAGCAAGUUGAACAUUGUGGGAUGCAUGAGCUAUUGAGGCCUUUGCAGCUUUCUGCUACAUGGAGGCUAGGGCCAGAGUCAAGAUUUAUGCUUUGCAGCACACUGGUCAGCUGUUUUUGCAAAUCAGAUUAAAUGAUUUUUAAAUGAGGCUGAGAGCAUGGGAGAUACUAAUGUGUGUUUCCUUGUGAGCUACUGCAUAAGUUAGGAAAUUGAAAUACAGAAAGAUGAAAAGUGAUUUGCCCAAGCAUAUAGAUCAAAGCUGUGGCAGA